GACGAACGCUGGCGGCGUGCUUAACACAUGCAAGUCGAGCGGAAAGGCCCUUCGGGGUACUCGAGCGGCGAACGGGUGAGUAACACGUGAGUAAUCUGCCCCUCACUCAGGGAUAACCGCGGGAAGCUGCGGCUAAUACUUGAUAUGACCACGUCUCGCAUGGGGUGUGGUGGAAAGCGUUUAGUGGUGAGGGAUGUGCUCGCGGCCUAUCAGCUUGUUGGUGAGGUAGUGGCUCACCAAGGCCUCGACGGGUAGCCGGCCUGGGAGGGUGACCGGCCACACUGGGACUGAGACACGGCCCAGACUCCUACGGGAGGCAGCAGUGGGGAAUGUUGGACAAUGGGCGAAAGCCUGAUCCAGCAACGCCGCGUGAGGGAUGACGGCCUUCGGGUUGUAAACCUCUUUCACCUCUGACGAAGCGCAAGUGACGGUAAGGGGAGAAGAAGGACCGGCCAACUACGUGCCAGCCGCCGCCGUAAAAC
rnacentral:rRNA from 1 species